rnacentral:snRNA from 1 species
AUCCUCUCUGGCCAAUCGGCUAAGAUCCAUUGUAGUAUCUGUUCUUUCUAGCGUGACAGCUGGAUGGCGCUCUCCGGAGUUUGCCCGUUGGUAAUCGAAUCUUUGGACUUUGGCGGAGUCGCCUGGGGCUUCCUCUGCGUUCUGCCGCGGAUGUCGCCCGGUAUCGUACUGGCGCGGGCUGGCGUCCAUGUUUC